rnacentral:rRNA from 1 species
CCUACGGGUGGCAGCAGUGAGGAAUAUUGGUCAAUGGGCGGAAGCCUGAACCAGCCAAGUCGCGUGAGGGAUUAAGGCCCUAUGGGUCGUAAACCUCUUUUGUCAGGGAGCAAGGUCGUCCACGUGUGGGCGUAUGGAGAGUACCUGAAGAAAAAGCAUCGGCUAACUCCGUGCCAGCAGCCGCGGUAAUACGGAGGAUGCGAGCGUUAUCCGGAUUUAUUGGGUUUAAAGGGUGCGUAGGCGGGACCUUAAGUCAGCGGUAAAAUUGCGGUGCUCAACGCCGUAGAGCCGUUGAAACUGGGGCUCUUGAGUGAGCGAGAAGUAUGCGGAAUGCGUGGUGUAGCGGUGAAAUGCAUAGAUAUCAUACAGAACACCGAUUGCGAAGGCAGCUUACCAAGCUACUUCUGACGUUGAGGCACGAAAGCGUGGGGAGCAAACAGGAUUAGAUACCCUUGUAGUC